rnacentral:lncRNA from 1 species
AAGUCCUCUCUUAAUGUCUUUGUUUUAUUUUAAUUUCUUCAGAGAAUCAAACAUCGAUGUUUACUUGCUUGAAAAAGAGAACAGUUUCACAACCACAGUGAGGAAAUUCAAGGACAUCGGCCCAGAUUUGAACUUUAAUUUAAAGGUUUCUACAGGAGUGGUCCCAGUCAGCCUGGUUUACCUCACUGUCUCUUUGCCCAACAGCACCAAAGCAGGAAAUCCUCUCCUCUACACGACCAGCAUUAAAACCUCACCUGUGAGGAUCCAUAACCUCACAUUUACACACACAAUCCAUCAUAAACAUGAGCGAACGCAUUGUCUGUGAAUGUGGAAAUGAUUUGACAUGAUAUUUCCAGGCUGAAAAAAUCCAUUGUGCAGACAGUCAACUGAUCGACCCGUUUAAGAUCAGCGAGAAACCUUAUAUGGUCCGAUUCAAAGAGGAGAGUUUUAGAGGAACAGAUGAACUGGUCAGUGCUUGUGGAUCUUCAUCUAAAAAAUUCUUGAAAUCCAAGACUGCCAAAAACAUUGGCUUUUGUUACUGAUCGUGACACACAAAGGAAGUACUAAUGAAUGAAGUAUGAAACCCAGUAAUAAUUAUUUGUGUAAUAAUGUUUUUAAUUUGAUCUAGGUGGAGUUGAUUUGCAUGAUGACUAAUCCUGUCUCCGAUUACAAAAUAACAGGAUGUCUUCAUUUCCAUCCGUACUGAUCAUCUGUUCACCAUCCACAGAACUGCAAAACGGCCAAAUGCCGCUUACUGCAAUGCGUCCUGAAGGGCCUACAGGAGAAGAGUGAUUAUUAUGUGAAUGUAACGACAAACAUAUGGAAUGGUACCUUUGCAAUGGUAAAUAAACUCAUCUCAGUGCUUUUCUUGUAUCGGUCUGGGCUAAUAUUGGGGUUAACAGUGUUUGUUUAUUACAGGCUGAUUUUCUGUACACCGUGCUCUCUGUGAGAGCUGAUAUAGAGACGUCUCAACCGGAGCUGCUGUUCAUCAAACAGAAACACCUGCAGGUACAGUCAAAUCAAGCCGGAUCAAUCAUUUGGAAAUUAUUUUUUU